CAUAAGUUUCAGGGUGGGGUGAAAUUCCCUACUGGCGGUAAAGCCCGCGACCCGCAUAAGCGGUGGAUUCGGUGAAAUCCCGAAGCCAACGGUAUAGUCCGGAUGAAAGAAACGAGAU
rnacentral:ncRNA from 2 species